AUUGAACGCUGGCGGCAGGCCUAACACAUGCAAGUCGAGCGGCAGCGGGAAAGUAGCUUGCUACUUUUGCCGGCGAGCGGCGGACGGGUGAGUAAUGCCUGGGGAUCUGCCCAGUCGAGGGGGAUAACUACUGGAAACGGUAGCUAAUACCGCAUACGCCCUACGGGGGAAAGCAGGGGACCUUCGGGCCUUGCGCGAUUGGAUGAACCCAGGUGGGAUUAGCUAGUUGGUGAGGUAAUGGCUCACCAAGGCGACGAUCCCUAGCUGGUCUGAGAGGAUGAGCAGCCACACGGGAACUGAACCACGGUCCAGACUCCUACGGGAGGCAGCAGUGGGGAAUAUUGCACAAUGGGGGAACCCCUGAUGCAGCCAUGCCGCGUGUGUGAAGAAGGCCUUCGGGUUGUAAAGCACUUUCAGCGAGGAGGAAAGGUUGGUAGCUAAUAACUGCCAGCUGGGACGUUACUCGCAGAAGAAGCACCGGCUAACUCCGUGCCAGCCGCCGCCGUAA
rnacentral:rRNA from 1 species